ACAUGCACUAUAUAAAGUAAGAGAUAAAUAAUAUUGUAUCCAUUAAUUUCUAUAUUCAUCAUGAUGUACAAGUUGUGUAUUAUUAUAGCUGUGGUUGUUGCUGUAUCUGCUAACAUCCAAGAUAUGGGCUUUAGAUGUCCAAGGGAAAUGCUAGAUCAACUAAAUGACGUAUCAGAAGUGCCUAAGUUUUGUUAUGAUGUCAUAGGAGAUAAUGGUGAUUGUCUGUUAGAUGAUAUGAUCUUGACACGGGAUCAGUGUGUAUCUUGGUUUAGUCAAGCCUUUUAUGAUGACUUAGUGAAAACUCAAGCUGAAGUGGAUCGUAAAUUUAAUAAUAAUUAAUACUGGUUAUACUGUAAAGUAUUUUAAUGAAUAUUAAAAAAAACAACCAAAAUAAACAAAUCAAUUUCUAAAA